rnacentral:lncRNA from 1 species
CUGUGAUGCUGGACAGGAGCUGACAGCCGGGAUCUGGGAGCAAUACCUUCAGGAUAGCACAGCAAGGUUUAGCUGGGCUUGAUCUGCAGUGGUGUAGAGGCUGCAAAGGAGGGGCGAUUUUGUUAUGUGAGAAAUAAGCCCACCUACUUGUGGGGACUCAAGAUGACUUGUUUGGAUUCUGCAUAUGCAAAUUGAAGAUCUCCUCCUCUUCUUGAGAGUUCCAAGACCCACAACUCACUUUUGCCCGUGCUGAGACAUGGCCCCAGCCAGAAGGAAUUUACAGUCCAGUCAAAACUGCCUAGAAGUGUGACAGCAGCUGAGUUGGAGGGAGGCAGCUGAACCAAGAAAACCUUAUCAGCACUAUUUGAAACUUUUAUCUCAUCUGGCUUGGCGCCUGAGGUUCUCCCAUUAGGAAAUUGAAGGCGUGUGGGAGAGCAUAUGGAACAUUCCUUCAAAUGCAUUUGGUCAUAGAAGCCUUUACUG